UACGGGGGGGGCAAGCGUUGUUCGGAAUUACUGGGCGUAAAAGGGCUCGUAGGCGGCCAACUAAGUCAGACGUGAAAUCCCUAGGCUCAAACCCUGAGGAACCUGCGUCUGAUACUGGAUGGCUUGAAUCCGGGAGAGGGGAUGCAGAAUUCCCAGGUGUAGCGGUGAAAUGCGUAGAUAUCGGAGGAAGAACCGAGCGGAGGCGGCAAGUCGGUCGUGCCGUAGGUCCGUAACCUGG
rnacentral:rRNA from 1 species